UGGGAUUGAGUAGGUUAGCCUGUAUUUAUGUUAGAUUUUAUUUCAUACAAGAUAGAUUUCUUUCAUAUAUUGAUUCAUCUUCUUCCACUUUACAGGUGAAGCCAUCUCAGGUUGGCAAGGUACCAGCUUUUGAACUAGGAGAAUUGAUUACUCUCUCAUACCUGCUGACAGAUUUUAUAUUCAGAUACAACUUUUUGUGCGUGUUUUGUCCUAGAAGUCAAAGGACUAAGAGGAGCUUUCAGUUUUUCAUAUAUCUUCUUCUCAUAAUAUUUCUUGGAGGAAAAAAAUGGAAUAAUAUAGCUAUGUAGAUCUAAUACAGUACACAAUUCUGCAAAAUAUCAAUAACUAGAAGUGCUAUUUAUCACAAAAGAAAGACACAUAUAGAUAUUUUUGAGUCAUUUAGGUUAUGCAUUGACAGCUAAAGGUAACUUUGCUGAAUUUCACAAAGAGAAUGUGUUUUCCACAGUUCAUGAUUCAGCUAUAAGCAACCAUAUUAUGGGCACUUGGGUAAGUCCUUAUACUGAUAUAAUGACUAGCAAAAGAAUGGUGUAGGCCAGGGCUCUUCAAACUUGGCCCUUUUAUGACUUGUGGACUUCAGCUCCUAGAAUUCCUCAACCAGGCACGCUGGCUGAUUCUGGGAGUUGAAGUCCACAAGUCAUAAAAGGGCCAAGUUUGAAGACCCCCCCCCCAGUGUAUGCAAUUUCAAAUUUUCACCCUUUGGCAAUUCUUCCCAUAUCGCCCAAAUGGUUGAAAAAGCUCUUUUCAUAAUUGAAUCCUUGGUAUGUGACAGAGGAUUCUAGAACCUGCUAAAUUACCCUGAAAUUUACUUUACAUAGAUGUCUAAUCAAGCCUGUUACAUCGUAUCUUUGCUCUGCGUGAAAGAAGAACCUAUCUAGUAGUGGAAAAAUAAUAGCAGUAGAGAAAUGUCUGCUUUUCAUCUCUUUCAUUUCCUUGGAUAGUUUGAAAUAUGUUACUUUGCCACAAACGAAACCAAUAUAUGUUUCAGUUUACCACAGCACCAACCACAAAAUGUGAUUUUAAUGCUAUGAUCUCUACUCUGGAGUCAACAGAUGGUUUUCUUUCUCACUUCAUAUUAUUUAAUACCCAUAUAGAUUUAUUGUGAGAACAAAUGAAAUAUAUCACAAACGCAAAACAUAAGGCAGCAAGACAUUACACUUGGCAGUUCAAAAAUACAUUUUCUUCCACUUCCCCAAGAAAAUCACAGCCUUUUUCUCUGCUUAAAAGCAUUGGUUGGUGCAUUUAUGCCAUGAUGACUUCUGGUCUAUUCAUAACUGGAAGUUUCACUGUUUGGCUCUUGGAGAAUCUUAGAAAUUCUUUUCUUUUUUCCCCUAAAGAAAUAUAUUCACAAGAUUUUGUUUUUUCCAAACAUAGAUAUCUGAACUUUAUUCCAAAUCUUUGAAAAUUGUAUACCCUGAAUCCAUUGUCUUAUUCUAGAGAGCCGACAAUGGGACAAACCUCAAAGUAUGGUUGGUUGCUAACUUUCAGUUCUGUCGUCCAAAUCAUGUGGUGCCAUUUUACUGCUCAGACAAAAAUAAUCUAGCUUUCUAAAUUGAUUGGAAAAAGGACCAUCUGCACAUUGUUGUCAAAUGCAUAUAAUUCUGCACUGGAUCAAUGACUGCAAUUCUAACAUUAACAAAGCAUUAGUCAUAAUAACAAUCAGAGAUCCUUUUAAAAUCUAUAACAAGAAGUUGUUUAGCAAAUACUUUAUUAAAGGCGACUCUUAACAUCUGAUAUUCAUAGAUUUACUAUCUCAUUUCAUUCAUAGGGUUAUUAUGAUUUCCAGUGAACUACAUGAACUUUGGAAUGACUGUGGGUUAUACAAACUACACAAGGACAAAGAAUAAAGCAAGGUACAGAGCACUUCAUUAUAUGCACACUCGGAAACUCUUAAACGGAUGAGGCAGCUAUUUGCAUCUGAUAGAAGUUAAGUGGGACAUUAAAUUAAUGCCAAACAAGUUUAACAAAGAGGGAGAGCUUCAAUUAUUAAUAAAGGUCCAGUAAAUUGAAGAGGCAACAUUUCAGUAAAUGCCAUAAACUACGGCUGUUGACAACUGUAGAGCAGAAAAAGAUGUGACGGCCAACAAAUCAAAACAUUGUGCUUGUAAAGGUCAAAAUGAUCUUUUGCUCUUCACCCUUCUGAGAAGGAAACACAGGGAAUACAGCACCAUCGGUCCACCUACCCCAAAGUCGGAGGGGGAAGUGAGAAAGAAAUUGUAACAAAGCAGGGAAAAAACAGUAGAACAAUAAAUCUUUUGGAAGUGUUGAAAAAAAAGUGAAGUGCUUGUGAAUCAAUCUUAGUGGGGAGAGUUCUUAUUGCCCAGGACCAAUAAUACUCUAAAUAAGAUUGAUCCAGUGUACAGCCUUGAUUAAUGGACAAAGAACUCCCUGUGAUAUUUCACAUGAGAUGGCUUGGUUUAAUGAAUGCGCUGCAAGACAAUAAUGUCAUUUAACUCCUGCACAUUUCUCAGUAAUUAAGAAUUUUACUUAAGGAAAGAAAAUAGUACCAACUCGUUCCUUAUAAAAACUCUUAUAAUGCACAGAACCUGGGUUUAUAUCUAGGGAGGAGAGGUGGUAUUUGCGUGCAUAUUUCAGUGCAAGAUAUUA